ensembl:lncRNA
AUGAAUACACCCCAGGGUUUUUUAUUUUUUACCCCAGGGGAGGGGGGGUCUGAGGUUGGCAGGGGGGGUUCAGAGUUGGGCAGGCAGGGGGACAUGGAAUCACUCUGGGGCCUUAAGGAUGUGCACUACUUAGGCACCCUAUUCCCCAUAUACAUUAUAGUGCACUACUUAUGCACCCUAUUCCCUAUAUACAGUAUAGUGCACUACUUAGGCACCCUAUUCCCUAUAUACAGUAUAGUGUUCUACUUAGGCACCCUAUUCCCUAUAUACAGUAUAGUGCACUACUUAGGCACCCUAUUCCCUAUAAACAGUAUAGUGCACUACUUAGGCACCCUAUUCACUAUAUACAGUAUAGUGCACUACUUAGGCACCCUAUUCCCUAUAUACAGUAUAGUGCACUACUUAGGCACCCUAUUCCCUAUAUACAGUAUAGUGUACUACUUAGGCACCCUAUUCCCUAUAUACAGUAUAGUGCACUACUUAGGCACCCUAUUCCCUAUAUACAGUAUAGUGUACUACUUAGGCACCCUAUUCCCUAUAUACAGUAUAGUGCACUACUUAGGCACCCUAUUCCCUAUAUACAGUAUAGUGCACUACUUAGGCACCCUAUUCCCUAUAUACAGUAUAGUGCACUACUUAGGCACCCUAUUCCCUAUAUACAGUAUAGUGUACUACUUAGGCACCCUAUUCCAUAUAUACAGUAUAGUGCACUGCUUAGGCACCCUAUUCCCUAUAUACAGUAUAGUGUUCUACUUAGGCACCCUAUUCCCUAUAUACAGUAUAGUACACUACUUAGGCACCCUAUUCACUAUAUACAGUAUAGUGCACUACUUAAGCACCCUAUUCCCUAUAUACAGUAUAGUGCACUACUUAAGCACCCUAUUCCCUAUAUACAGUAUAGUGCACUACUUAGGCACCCUAUUCCCUAUAUACAGUAUAGUACACUACUUAGGCACCAUAUUCCAUAUAUACAGUAUAGUGCACUACUUAGGCACCCUAUUCCCUAUAUACAGUAUAGUGCACUACUUAGGCACCCUAUUCACUAUAUACAGUAUAGUGCACUACUUAGGCACCCUAUUCCCUAUAUACAGUAUAGUGCACUACUUAGGCACCCUAUUCACUAUAUACAGUAUAGUGCACUACUUAGGCACCCUAUUCACUAUAUACAGUAUAGUGCACUACUUAGGCACCCUAUUCCCUAUAUACAGUAUAGUGUACUACUUAGGCACCCUAUUCCCUAUAUACAGUAUAGUGCACUACUUAGGCACCCUAUUCCCUAUAUACAGUAUAGUGCACUACUUAGGCACCCUAUUCCCUAUAUACAGUAUAGUGCACUACUUAGGCACCAUAUUCCCUAUAUACAGUAUAGUGCACUACUUAGGCACCCUAUUCCCUAUAUACAGUAUAGUGCACUACUUAGGCACCCUAUUCCCUAUAUACAGUAUAGUGCACUACUUAGGCACCCUAUUCCCUAUAUACAGUAUAGUGCACUACUUAGGCACCCUAUUCCCUAUAUACAGUAUAGUACACUACUUAGGCACCAUAUUCCAUAUAUACAGUAUAGUGCACUACUUAGGCACCCUAUUCCCUAUAUACAGUAUAGUGCACUACUUAGGCACCCUAUUCACUAUAUACAGUAUAGUGCACUACUUAGGCACCCUAUUCACUAUAUACAGUAUAGUGCACUACUUAGGCACCCUAUUCACUAUAUACAGUAUAGUGCACUACUUAGGCACCCUAUUCACUAUAUACAGUAUAGUGCACUACUUAGGCACCCUAUUCCCUAUAUACAGUAUAGUGUACUACUUAGGCACCCUAUUCCCUAUAUACAGUAUAGUACACUACUUAGGUAUGUCAACAACAAAAGGAGGGCCCUAUAUAGGGAAUAGGGUCUAUAGUAGUACCACUAUAUAG